GACCGACGGGAGCUUGCUCCCUUAGGUCAGCGGCGGACGGGUGAGUAACACGUGGGUAACCUGCCUGUAAGACUGGGAUAACUCCGGGAAACCGGGGCUAAUACCGGAUGCUUGAUUGAACCGCAUGGUUCCAAUCAUAAAAGGUGGCUUUCAGCUACCACUUACUGAUGGACCCGCGGCGCAUUAGCUAGUUGGUGAGGUAACGGCUCACCAAGGCGACGAUGCGUAGCCGACCUGAGAGGGUGAUCGGCCACACUGGGACUGAGACACGGCCCAGACUCCUACGGGAGGCAGCAGUAGGGAAUCUUCCGCAAUGGACGAAAGUCUGACGGAGCAACGCCGCGUGAGUGAUGAAGGUUUUCGGAUCGUAAAACUCUGUUGUUAGGGAAGAACAAGUACCGUUCGAAUAGGGCGGCACCUUGACGGUACCUAACCAGAAAGCCACGGCUAACUACGUGCCAGCAGCCGCGGUAAUACGUAGGUGGCAAGCGUUGUCCGGAAUUAUUGGGCGUAAAGCGCGCGCAGGCGGUUUCUUAAGUCUG
rnacentral:rRNA from 1 species